CGAGGCGGCGAGAUGUCUAAAAUAGGAAGACGCUGGGGACGGCUGGCCUGGCUGCCCGCGAUGCUGGCUGCGGGAAUCUGGUCCGGCAGUGCAGAUGGAAAAGCUAGGAGCCAAGGUACAGAGUUCGAAUCUCUGGCACUUUCUCCAUCCAUCAGUAGACAUAUGUACAAAUGUCUACCGCCUUCCAGGGCUCGUCUAUGAUAAACGUGUGUCACCACCACACCUUCCCUUCUUUUCCUCGGUGACACUUCAGCGCUAUCAGGCCUGUCUAUCUCUUGUUGCACCCAGUGGCUUGUCUUUUUUUUCUUUUAAAGACAGAGUCAAGGGCUGGAGAGAUGGCUCAGAGGUUGAGAGCACUGACUGCUCUUCCAGAGGUCCUGAGUUCAAUUCCAGCAACCACAUGGUGGCUCACAACCGUCUGUAAUGAAGUCUGGUGCCCUCUUCUGGCCUGCAGGGAUAUACACAGACAGACUG